AAGGAUUUAAGUUAAUAAAAACUUGCAACCUUCAAAGCUGCGAAUAGAGAGCUACACCUUUAAGCCUUA
rnacentral:tRNA from 1 species